rnacentral:lncRNA from 1 species
GACUAAUUUAAAAAAAAAAAAGGUGAUUCAUUCAUUUCCUCCACCAGAGCCACAUCUCAGCCUCAGGGCUCAAGGAUGGCAGCAGCAUGAGGUUAAUUUUGGACUCACAGGCUGCUUGCUUGAAAACUGUUAGCUUCACUUCUCAUCUCCUUGUGGGUAGGGAGCUGCCACUGAUGGCAUUUACAGAAUAACAAAUGAGGAUUAAGCUUUCUAUUUGGGAGAUAUUUUGAGCAAAAUUAAACAUGGUGUAGGCAGAGUGGAUUAGAUUGAAAUGAUCCCCAUUCUGACAAAGCCCUUAAAACACACACACACACACACACACACACACACACACACACACACACACAUAAAGCCAGUAUUAACCCUCAAGAACAAGGUAAAUCACAAAACAUCUGCAGUGUCCUACCACUUUUCCAGUAAUUGCGAUAGAGUAUAAUUAAGGUAACUAAGUCUAAGGACUCUGUGUUUAAAUGCUGGCUGUACCACCUGCUAGCUGUAUAACCUUGAAAACAUAUUUGAUCUCCCUAAGUUUCAGUUUCCUCCAAUGUUAUAUUGGGGUUAAUAACGGCAGCUAACAUUCAUUGAGUAUAUAUCAUGCCCAGAGUGUCCAUUCACUUAUUUAUUUCUGAUUUAACAAAUUGGAAGAUGGGUCAGAAGAAAAUACUCAGACUUAAGCCCAAAGUUAUGGAAAUUACAGAAAAGAUAGUAAAAGAUAAAUUGACACAGCAAAUAGGUUUAACACAUGUGCAUCUGGAGUCCCAGAAGGAGAUGUGAAAGAAUAUGGAGAAGGUUAUUAUUUGCCAGCCACUGCUUUAAGUACUUUACAGAUAUAUCUUAUUUAAUCCUCAUAAAAUCUCUCCGAGGUAGGCACUAUUCUUGCCACACCCAUUUUACAGAUGAGGAAACCAAGGCACCAAGUUAGGUAACUUGCCCAGGGCCACACAGCUAGUAAGUGGUAGAGCUGAGAUAUAAACCCAAGCAGUCUGAGCUGUGUCCACAUUUUAAACCAGCCUUAUUCUGAGGACCAUACAUAUGUCAACUCAUUAAAUGCUCACCAAUAAGUCCUAUGAGUACUAUCAUUAUCCCCAUUCUAUAGGUGAAAGAGGUUAGGCAAUUUGGCCAAGAUUACAUAAUUAGGUAAUGAUAGAGCUAAGAUACAAUGCCAGACAAGUCUGUCUCUAAAACCCACAAUCAUAAUUUUUAUGCUAUAUCCUCUGUCAGUAAUAGUACCUUUAUCAUAGAGUUCUUUAGUCCAGUCCUGGCAUACACUCAGAUAUUAUUAUCAUUUACGAUUACUAUUACUGAUUGUCCUCUGAUAGUUGUAGCUCCCUAAGAGCUCAAGUUGCAAUCACAGUGAGGUGGGAGUAGCAGGAAUGUAUAGCAUGCUGCCUGAAUAUGACACCCUGCUCUCAGCAGGUUCCUAAGAUGAGGAAACUAUUAGAGUUCCUAAAAUAAAGGUCCUUGCUAGAGAUUCCAUGUGUUUCAGUUCAUUUACUCUCUUUGCCUAACUGCAGUAUAGAAGGUGACUGGAUACCAGAAAAAUUGUAGGGAAAGAGGAAGGGCCUUUAAUCCUUUGUUGGGAGUUUUAAAAUUUGAUAGAAUUCCAAUCUGUCUUGACUGAGAGCAAGCUAGCACAGAAUACCACAUCACACUCCCCAAAUGAUGCUAAGGCAUUUAUAAUAGUAGGUUUUUUUUUUGGGUUUUUUUUUUUUUUGAGAUGGAGUCUCACCCUGUCGCACAGGCUGGAGUGCAGUGGCACGAUCUCAGCUCACUGCGACCUCCACCUCUUGGGUUCAAGCAAUUCUCAUGCCUCAGCCUCCCAAGUAGCUGGGAUUACAGGCACAUGCCACCAUGCCUGGCUAAUUUUUAUAUUCUGAGUAGAGACGGGGUGCUGUGAUUACAGGCGCGAGCCACCAUGCCCGGCCAUAUAUAUAUAUAUAUAUAAUUUUUUUAAUAAGCCUUAACUCUAUGCCAACUACUUUUCCAAGUGCACAUGUUAAUUUAUGUGUUCCUUAGAAAAGCCCUAGGAGAUGCAUAAUAUUAUCUGCUCACUUUAUAGAUGAGGAAAUUAAGGCCUGGUGUUCAAGGCCACACAGUCAGUAAGUGAUAAAACUGGAAUUUGAACAGUUUUGCCCCAGAACCCAAGAUCUUAUGUUCCUCUCACUUCAAUACUAGUUUUUUUUUGAGAUGGAGUCUCGCUCUGUUGCCCAGGCUGGAGUGCAGUGGCAUGAUCUCUGCUCACUGCAACCUCUGCCUCCCGGGUUCAAGUGAUUCUCCUGUCUCAGCCUCCUGAGUAGCUGGGAUUACAGACAUGCACCACAACGCCUGGCUAAUUUUUGUAUUUUUUAGUAGAGACAAGGUUUCACCAUGUUGGCCAGGCUGGUCUCGAACUCCUGACCUCAGGUGAUCCACCCGCCUCAGCCUCCCGAAGUGCUGAGAUUACAGGCAUGAGUCACCGCACCCAGCUUCCAACACUAGUUUUAAUACUCUUCCCACAUUACUGAUUACCCCUCUAUCUCAUGAAUGAAACUAAAUAUUAAAUAUAUAAUUGUAAAGUACAAGGUAAUUUUCAUGAAGUUGUUUUGCGGUCCUCUUAAAAAUGCUUCCCAUCUCUCACCAUUACAUUGUACUCUGCUUUUUUUUUUGAAAUAGGGUCUCAUUCUGUUGCCCAGGCUGGAGUGCAGUGGCGUGAUCUCAGCUCACUGCAACCUCUACCUUCUGGGCUCAAGUGUCACCUCUGCCUCCUGAGUAGGUGGGACUACAGGCAUGCACCAUCACACCUGGCUAAUUUUUUUGUUUUUUGUAGAGAUGGGGUUUUGUUAUGUUGCCCAGGAUUGUCUCAAACUCCUGGGUCCACACAAUCUACCUGCCUAGGCCUCCCAAAGAACUGGGAUUACAGGUGUGAGCCACUGCCCCCAGCCCAUUGUACUUUGAUUCUUUUGCCUGCAAUGUUUUCAGCCCUUCGCCCAAGGUGAGAUUUUUGAUAAUACAAAAGUUCUGAAUCCAUUUGACAGGGUUUACUUGUCAACAAAGUGGAUACAGGUAUCUUCUUCUUGUCCACAGCCAAAUCUUGUGGCGAUAGUCAGAUAGUAGAAGGUGGUGGUGGUGGGGGAUGUCUACUCUGCCUUUUUGUUUUUGUUUUUUUUUUUUAAGGAGAUAGGGUCUUGUUCUGUCACCCAGGCUGGAGUACAGUGGCACGAUCAUAGUUCACUGCAGCUUCGAACUUCUGGGCUCGAGUGAUCCUCUCACCUCAGCCUCCAAGUAGUUGGGAUGACAGGUGCAUACCAACAUGCCCAGCAAAUUUUUCUUGUGGUUUUUUAAGAGAUGGGGGUCACGCUGUGUUGCCCAGGUUGGUCCUGAACUCCUGACCUGAAGGGAUUCUCCUGUCUUAGCCUCCCAAGUCACUGCAAUUACAGGUGUGAGCCACUGUGCCUGGCUCCCCUCUGCCUUUUGUUACCUUUCCUAGGGCAGGAAUUGUUGGCAUAUACUGGCACCAGUGCCCAACAUUGUUUCACUUUAUUUUGGAUCCUAAAAAAUUAAUUUCUCCUCAAUUUAUUUAUGAAGAAAUAUAUCUUAUCAAAAGACCAAGGAAGCAGGAUUUGUAAACAAAGAAGAUUUCAGGAAUUUGUAGGUUUUACAGAUAUAUAGCUGACUCUUUUUUUGGGAAGGGGCACUGAAAAAUUUAUGUACCCUGUUAAAUAGCAGUAGACAAUAGUUACGGUCUGCUAGCCCCAUCUACUUCUCAUGAGAAGAAAAAAGGUCUACAAAGGCAUUGUCACAGAGGUUUUUGGCCUCUUGUAAGAGACUUUCCUGAGGUUUUUAUAUAGCCAAGUGUUUUGCUUAUUUACUACUUUGUGGCACUGGAUCAAAUAAUGUAUGCUGAUAUAUAAUACAUUGAUUAAUGCAUUUUCCAAACUCAUGACCAGCUUGAAAUAUAUUGUUUUUUGUUUUUUUUUUUUGAGACAGAGUCUCGCUCUGUUGCCCAGGCUGGAGUGCAGUGGCACGAUCUCGGCUCACUGCAAGCUCCGCCUCCCGGGUUCACACCAUUCUCAUGCCUCAGCCUCCCGAGUAGCUGGGACUACAGGUGCCCGCCACCACGCCCAGCUAAUUUUUUUUUGGUAUUUUUAGUAGAGACGGGGUUUCACCGUGUUAGUCAGGACGGUCUCGAUCUCCUGACCUCGUGAUCCGCCUGCCUUGGCCUCCCAAAGUGCUGGGAUUACAGGCAAGAGCCACCACGCCUGGCCCAGCUUGAAAUAUUUUUAUAGAUGUCUCAGAGUCUAUAAAAUAAUUUUUAAUAUUUUGUAAUAUUUUUAGAGAUAUCAGUGAAGGAUUUAAAAAAUAAGAGACAGUAUAAUGUAAAAAUUUUCUCAUGGGAUAUUUUUUGUUACCAAUGUGAAUUUAUUGAUACUACCUUGAUGCUAAUAGUGAAUUCUUUGAAGGCAAGACAUUCAUUUGUUUUUUAGUUCACAGUGAACCUAACAUAGUAACUUGAAUGUAAUAGAUGCUUCAUUAUUGUUUGUUGAAUGUAUGAAUGAUUAAAUAAAUAAAUUUAGUACCAUCA